UACGUAGGGUGCGAGCGUUGUCCGGAAUUAUUGGGCGUAAAGGGCUCGUAGGCGGUUUGUCGCGUCGGGAGUGAAAACACCGGGCUUAACUCGGUGCUUGCUUUCGAUACGGGCAGACUAGAGGCAUGCAGGGGAGAACGGAAUUCCUGGUGUAGCGGUGAAAUGCGCAGAUAUCAGGAGGAACACCGGUGGCGAAGGCGGUUCUCUGGGCAUGUCCCGACGCUGAGGAGCGAAAGUGUGGGGAGCGAACAGG
rnacentral:rRNA from 1 species